rnacentral:rRNA from 1 species
UACGUAGGGACCAAGCGUUGUCCGGAUUUAUUGGGCGUAAAGAGCUCGUAGGCGGCCCUCCACGUCGGAUGUGAAAGCUCAGGGCUCAACCCUGAGAUGCCAUUCGAUACGGGAAGGCUAGAGGUAGGUAGGGGAAAGUGGAAUUCCUGGUGUAGCGGUGAAAUGCGCAGAUAUCAGGAGGAACACCAAUAGCGAAGGCAGCUCGCUGGGACGGUACUGACGCUGAGGCGCGAAAGCGUGGGGAGCGAACAGG